rnacentral:sRNA from 1 species
GCCUGGUGCGGCGGUGCACACCUGUAAUUCCAGCAGCUGGGGAGGCUGAGACAGGAGAAUCGCAAGUUCAAAGCCAGCCUCAGCAACUAUCAAGGCACUAAGCAACUCAGUGAGAUCCUGUCUCUA